rnacentral:rRNA from 1 species
CGCCUUUUGUUAUACACCCAUAAAAGGUCCUGCCUGCCCAGUGACCAUGUUCAACGGCCGCGGUAUCAUGACCGUGCAAAGGUAGCGUAAUCACUUGUCUUUUAAAUAAAGACUAGUAUGAACGGCAACACGAGGGUCCAACUGUCUCACUAAAUUAGUCAGUGAAAUUAAUUUCUCCGUGCAGAAGCGGAGCUAACUGUAUAAGACGAGAAGACCCUGUGGAGCUUUAAAUACAAACUAACAUUUAUUAAUGCUAUAGCAUAUAGUUUUAGGUUGGGGCGACCAAGAGGAAAAACAAACCCUUAAGACAUCAACUAGAAAGACAUUUCUAAAAAUAGUAACACUAACACAUUGACCCAAUAAUUGAUCAACGAACCAAGUUACCCCAGGGAUAACAGCGCAAUCCACUCACAGAGCCCAUAUCGACGAGCGGGUUUACGACCUCGAUGUUGGAUCAGGACCCCCAAAUGGUGCAGCAACUAUUAAAGGUUCGUUUGUUCAACGAUUAAAGUCCUACGUG